GCUCCUCAGAAGUAUAGUGGUGGGGGAAGGGUCCGGGGGAGGUGGCUUUGGGGGUUCAGCAGCAACGACAGGGGCAUGCAGUGUUACUGGUGAAGAAGCUGAAGAUGGAGCACGUCCAGGCUGACCACAAGCUUUUCCUCCAGGCUGUUGAAAAACCAACACAGAUAUAAAGAUUUCUUCGAAUUAGUUCAUAUUAUAGCACCAAUAUUUUUGCACAGAAUUCUUACUUACAUGUCUCAUGGAAACACCAGAACAAACAUCAAAAGGAAGACAUUUAAAGUUGAUAUUUUAACAAAAGUAGAGAAAAUUAAAGGAGAGCAAGAAUCUCAUAGCCCGUCUGCACAUUUGCAACUUACAUUUACUGAUUUCUUUCACAAAAAUAAUAAGCCAUGACAAAACUCAGAAAAUGAACAAAAUUCUGUUACCCUGAAAGUCUUGCUUGUGAAAGUUUGCCACAAUAAAGAAAGGGUUUAAGUUGUCCAGUAAGACAAGUUUUGGUAAAAAACAGGUGCCUUUGAAUCAUGACCUCAAUCAAACAAAAUCAGAAAAUUUCCCAACCCUGGCAGUUUCCAGCAAUGAAUUUGAACCUAGUAACAGCAAUAUGGUAAAGUCUUACUCAUUACUAUUUAGAGUAAGUCACCCAAGAAGAAGAGAAUGUAAUGGAAUGAUUAAUGGAGAAACCAAUGAAAAUACUGAUGUCAGUGAAUUUCCAGCCAGAAGAAAAUGAAAUUGUGAAGAUGGGGGGAAAGACAUUUGUUGCACAAAUGACAGUGUUUGACAAAAACAGGUGUUUACAGAUUUUAGAUGGGGAAUAUGAAGUAGCCAUGCAGGAAAUAGAAGAAUGUCCAAUAAGCAAGAACAAUGUGGAAGACUAUUCUUGAUGGAAAGAGGCUGCCUCCAUUCGAAAGAUUUUCUUAGGGAACUACAUUGCAAUUUACUCUUCAAUGGAUGGAAGAAACUAACGAUUAGUCUACAGCUCCUGUUGCCAAGACCUUGCCACUAGAAAUUCAGAGCGCCUUCAUCAGGAAAAUAUACCUGGUUCUGUGACCCGUCCAGCAGCUCCAGUUAUUCAAGGGUCUCGAGGGGACCUGCUCCUAAGAACCAAGUGUGGGAUAGAGAGAGACGAGGGCCUUGUGCGAAUAACGACACGGAAACCUUUUACAGAGCUGCAAACAAGAAAAGAAAAGGAUACUUCAAAUGAAAGUUGCCAGUACUUGCACUGCCUGUGGUGUACUCUCAACUGCCCUAAGCUGUAUAAAACUCUGCCAAAGCAGAUUUGUCUUCAAUUAUGUAUAUCAUCCAAAAGGUGCUAGGAUAGGUGUUCCUAUCAAUAAGUGUUAUGAUAGCUCCUAUGCAGAAAAUCUUCAGGACAUACAUCGCCAACCUAGAUUUGCUUUUAGUUGAAAUGGACCAGUUAAGAGAACACAUAUCACAUACAUCCUUGUGUGCAGGCCAAAACGAACAAAAGCAAGCAUGUCAGAGUUUCUUGAAUCUGAAAUGGAGAAGUAGAACAGCAAAGAACAUACAGUAGUGGCCACAAUCAUUUUUAUUUCCACAGUAGUACUUGUCUGCCUCUUCAGCCACAAGAAACAGAAGUAGACAAUGAAGAUGAGAAAGAUCCAGAAUGGCUGAGAUUUAAACAAACAAACAAACAAACAAACAAACAAAAACAAAUUGAAUUUUUUUUGAUAUGAAGGAAGAAGAGAACGAAGUAAAGAAACUGUGGUAUCUCUAUGUCAUGAAGCAUUGAUUUAUUGUUGACAAUCAAAUGAAUCAUGCCUGUAUGCUGUUUGUAGAAAAUUGUAGACAGAAAAUAAUUAAGAAUUUAUGUCGAAAUUUUAUGCUCAUCUAGUCAGAAUGCUUGACUUUAAUCUUACUACCAUAAUGUCAAUAGAUAAAGCUCUUACCAAACUCCAAGAAAUGCAGCAAAACGAGAAAAAGGAGAAUCUGUGGCCCCUGCAAAUGAAGAAAUAGCUGAGGAACAAAAUGGGACAGCAAAUGGAUUCAGUGAAACUAACUCAAAAGGGAAAGCUUUGGAAACUGACGGUUUCUCAAGGGUUCCACGAUAGAGCAAG
rnacentral:lncRNA from 1 species